rnacentral:rRNA from 1 species
CCUACGGGAGGCAGCAGUAAGGAAUAUUGGUCAAUGGACGCAAGUCUGAACCAGCCAUGCCGCGUGAAGGAUGAAGGUCCUCUGGAUUGUAAACUUCUUUUAUAGGGGACGAAAAAAGGGAAUUCUUUCUCGUCUGACGGUACCCUAGGAAUAAGCACCGGCUAACUCCGUGCCAGCAGCCGCGGUAAUACGGAGGGUGCAAGCGUUAUCCGGAUUUACUGGGUUUAAAGGGUGCGUAGGUGGGUCUGUAAGUCAGUGGUGAAAUCUCCGGGCUUAACCCGGAAGCUGCCAUUGAUACUAUAGGUCUUGAAUACUCUGGAGGUAAGCGGAAUAUGUCAUGUAGCGGUGAAAUGCUUAGAUAUGACAUAGAACACCAAUUGCGAAGGCAGCUUACUACGGGGUCAUUGACACUGAGGCACGAAAGCGUGGGGAUCAAACAGGAUUAGAUACCCUGGUAGUCCACGCCCUAAACGAUGGAUACUCGACAUCAGCGAUACACUGUUGGUUGUCUGAGACGAAGACAUUAAGUAGUACCACCGUACGGAAGGUACGGAGUCGUCGAAGAGUUAGUUAAACGUUAAAGGUUAAAGUUAGUACGGCGUUGAGACGNGCCGACGGACGACGACGAGGGAGGAGG